UCUGAAAAUGCAUUCGAUUCACCGUUACUUGAUUAACUGUCCACGAAAUAAACGGGAUUUUAGUGCUCACAAGUUAAUUAUACACGGGAUAUACAGCUGGUACCGCUCUACUAUUACUUAAUUACUCCCUCCGUUCUUAAAUAUAAGUCCUUUUAGAUAUUUUAAAUGGACUACAACAUACGGAUGUAUAUAGACAUAUUUUAGAGUAUAGAUUUACUUAUUUUACUCUGAAUGUAGUCACUCGUUGAAAUUUCUAAAAAGACUUAUAUUUUGGAACGGAGGGAGUAUUACACAUGCAUGCAUAUCCAGUACAGUGAUCGAUGUACUACAAAGAAAUCACUCGUAAAAACAUGGGUUACAUACAGCGAUCCACUAGCUAGUUAUAAUUCAGUAAGUCACUUGGUUCCCCAGAUUAGCUUGUUGUGGAGUACGUACGCUCAGAGCCACCAGACGAGCGCCGCGGCCGCGAGGGAGGCGGCGCCGGGAACACUCCAGCCGACCCCGCGGCCGGCACGAGAACCAGCCGGCCUGCUGUUUCCGCCCGCCCCCGGAAUAAUCGCAGCGCC
rnacentral:lncRNA from 1 species